CGUGAUUCUUUCUUCCUCAAUCUCCAACGUCUCCUACUCCCGUGUCGUGAUUUGGAUCGAGUUGGAGAUCGAUUCCAAAUACAAAUCGAAAAUCGAUCGAUCUAUAGUCCACAUCAAAUAGAAGGGAAUCGAUCUAUGGAGUUCAGGUUGGGCUUCGAUCUAAACACGCCGCCGGAUUUCAAGCCAUGGACGGGUCGAUAUUGAGAGAGAGGGGGGUUGACGAGGAGAGAGCAGCCAACCGGCGACUAUGGUGGCUCUGAGCACAGGUAGGCGACGACGGCGACUCGGUAGCACCGACCGGCCGAUUCAUCUCCUCGCUAGCUUCCUGUCCUUCACAGGUUGAAUAUAUGGCCUCUGCUCCUCGACGGCCACACCGAGCGCCCCAUCCAGAAGACCACCCCUACCGCCUUGCUGCUCCCGAUCCCCCUGAGUCGUCCUGAGAUGGUUCGGCUCGGCGGUCCAUCAUCGGCAACUCCCCAUCCCAAACCCUCCAUAGAGUCAAAAUCCGGCGGCCCGCUCCUCCGCUACGCCCACACCGAGCGCUCAAAGUAGGAAAACAGCCUCGGCGUGCGGCCGCUCCCUAUCUCCCUGCGCCCAGAUUUGUUCCGGCUAGGCGCCGCCCCGGCAGCCAAGCGUGUGGUGUCCCAUGGAAGCAGGCCCCUCCUCUACAAGACCGGUGAGGAUAGCUUCAACCUCGCUGCCUGUUCUGGUCGAUGCUGUCCCACGGAAACAGGGAAGUUUUCACCACUCAGUUGAUUCCUUCUACUGUAAUUCUCUUCCCUACCAUUUCUUACUUGCAGCAAAUUCAAGUGCGCUACACAUGUGAGUAUCUUCUCCUUCCCUCUAUUGUACGCAUCUGGUCAUUUGUUAUCUCUGAUUAAAAAUCAAGAGCCACUACAUUCUUGAAUAUCGGAGACUGUCUUAGUUCAUGCAGAUUAAUAAACUUGAUAAAUACAAUUUCCUUUUUGGUUCCAUCUAACAAUUCAGUCAUAUUAUUGUUUUGGGCAGUUUUCAGUAAUCUUAAGUUGUCUUUAGAUUUUAGCUUCGUCAAUCAUUUUGAAUUAUUUAACCUCGGUAUGAGGUGCAUGUGUGCGACAGAUUAAUCCUAAGAAAUUUGUAGUUGAGCAGUUGGGUCUGUUUGAUUUCUUUAGUAGACUGCAGCGGCAUUCCCUAAAGGUUCAAGAGGAUUUCAAUGUUGCUAAAGAAAGAGAUAUGGACCAGUGAGACAUGCAUCAUGAAUCAAGCACAUUGUGCUUUCUACCGGCCUUUUCCUUAUUGAUGAAACCUGACUACAUGACUAUUUUAAGUUUUCUCAUGUCACCUGAACUGUUGUUCAGAUUUCACUAUUCAGUACAUUUUUUGUUUUGCAGUGCACUGCGGCACACGUGGCUCCGCCUCCGUGUUGUUCUACCUUCUUCAGUGCCCUCUACUUCUUGCCCUUAGAUUGCCAUCAUGAUUAAUCUAAUGAGAGCACUUUAAUUGGUGGCACAUCGUUUGUUAUUAUGCUACUGCAUGUGGUUUCUCAUCUCUGCCUUGGCCUAUUUUAGUGCCCUCCCAUCGCUAUGGCGCCCCGGCAGAUUGCCCCAGGGUCGCGGGAUGCUGCUGCUAUCCAGCGCCACCAGCCCAAAGUUUGUUCACCUCUCCUGGACCUGGUUCUAUGGUGCAGUACCUGCCUCCCUCGGCGGUCAGGUUUGGAGGGAGCACUUGCAUGCAAGCAAGGGAUAGAGGAGAGAGAACUUGCUAAUUGAUUAGAAAUUUGGUUACUAGGGUACUUUUACAACAUAUCCAAUUAUGGUUCCAUUGUUGUCGCGCACCAAACGUUCGAUGAAUUUCUUGAAGAAAAUGAAUGGAUUCUUUUGUUGUGUGCUUCAACCAGGUAAAAUCCUAUUGGUUGUUCUAAUUAUACAAUCUUCUGAGCCAGUUUGUGAGCUUAGUACAGUAUGAUUAUUAUUUUUGUAUGGCUUCCCAGUAGAUUUAUUGGAGCUACCUCUUCCUCUUCUACCAUGCUAUCUCUACUUCUUUCCCUUCUACUACAUAGUUGAAAAUUUAGUACAUCUCCAUGCCCAUGGUUCUUCGGCAUAUAUAGUCUCUACAAUGUAAUUCUCUGUACAACCCAGUUAACUCUGCAAGAGCCACUAAAAUAUAUCUGUAGGCUUGCAUAUGAAUAAUUAUUUCAUAUUGUUGUUUGGUUAUUGUUGCUCGCAGCCAAUUUCUAUGAACUUUAAACAUACGGUAGGAUUACACAAACAAUAUGUGUAAAUAGUAUUUUGUCCUAUUUUAUUAUGUUUUAUGCCAAUAAGUAUGUUUCCACGCGGUGCAAUUUGUUUUCCUGCAAUUGGUAACUAAAUUUUUUUGCAGGGAGAUAACUAAAUUUCUUCCGUUGCUAAAAAAGGUGAGAUGAAUUCUAUGACAGUCAGCAGAAGUAAUUGCUGGUGUAAGUGUGACAACCUUAUGUACUAUUUUAUCCUGGUCUUGCUUUUAUUCUUGAACAACUUCUCUGAUUUCCCAAUAGAUUUGUUGAGUUGGUGUGGUCAUUAGGCUUAGUUUAGAAAUCUUUCUAUUCUGAAUCUGUGCUUAUACUGUUUGUCAUCUGAAAACUACACUCAGUAUACAUUAUGGGACAUAAUGUCCAGGAAAUAAUCAUCAGGUGCGGACAUCACUCUGUACUUCUUCCGUUAUAUAAUUCUUGUCGUGGUUUCAGUUCAAGGUUUUCCUGAGGUACUGCUCAGUGAUUUUUUUACCUCAUACAUAGGUUGAACAAGAGUCACAAGAGCUGAUUUUGUGCACCUAGCUUCAUGCGCACCAACUGGAUGAAUAUAUUCGAAAUGUGGAGCUUUUAGAAGUUCAAAAACAAUUCUGCAUAUAUAUUGUUGGAUUGAUGAAUGUAAAUAUUAUGAAAUAUAACACAAAUGCAUUGUUGCAUGGUUC